AUCCUUUUAAUAUAAUUAAGUAUAUUUAACUUCCAAUUAAAUAGUCCCACAGGGAAAGGAUA
rnacentral:tRNA from 1 species